CUGUCACCCAGGCUGGAGUGCAGUGGUGCAAUCUUGGCUUAUUGCAAUGUCUCCUUCCUGGGUUCAAGCAAUUCUCAUGUCUCAGCCUCCCAGGUAGCUGGGAUUACAGGCACACAUCACCAUG